GUGUCAGCAGCCGCGGUAAUACGUAGGGGGCAAGCGUUGUCCGGAAUCAUUGGGCGUAAAGAGCACGUAGGCGGCUUGGUAAGUCUGCUGUGAAAGUCCAGGGCUCAACCCUGGAAAGCCGGUGGAAACUGUCAAGCUAGAGUCCGGAAGAGGCGAGUGGAAUUCCUGGUGUAGCGGUGAAAUGCGCAGAUAUCAGGAGGAACACCAAUGGCGAAGGCAGCUCGCUGGGACGGUACUGACGCUGAGACGCGAAAGCGUGGGGAGCAAACAGGAUUAGAUACCCCCGUAGUCC
rnacentral:rRNA from 1 species